rnacentral:rRNA from 1 species
CCUACGGGUGGCAGCAGUGAGGAAUAUUGGUCAAUGGGCGCGAGCCUGAACCAGCCAAGUAGCGUGAAGGAUGACUGCCCUAAGGGUUGUAAACUUCUUUUAUAAAGGAAUAAAGUGAGGGACGUGUGCCCUUUUGUAUGUACCUUAUGAAUAAGGAUCGGCUAACUCCGUGCCAGCAGCCGCGGUAAUACGGAGGAUCCGAGCGUUAUCCGGAUUUAUUGGGUUUAAAGGGAGCGUAGGUGGGUUGUUAAGUCAGUUGUGAAAGUUUGCGGCUCAACCGUAAAAUUGCAGUUGAUACUGGCAGUCUUGAGUACAGUAGAGGUAGGCGGAAUUCGUGGUGUAGCGGUGAAAUGCUUAGAUAUCACGAAGAACUCCGAUUGCGAAGGCAGCUUGCUGGACUGCCACUGACGCUGAUGCUCGAAAGUGUGGGUAUCAAACAGGAUUAGAUACCCGGGUAGUC